CGGGCUGGUCCGGAGUCAAUGGGUUAACUGAAUUGCUCUCAAAAUACCCCAUUGGCACUCACUUGACCAGCUU
rfam:Macrostomum lignano uti_cns_0008849, whole genome shotgun sequence.